AUGAAAUUAAAAUUAUUAAAUAUAAUUUUAUCAAUAAUAAAUAAACUUAAUAAUAAUAAUAAUAUUAUUAUUAAUAAUCUAUUAGAUUCAUUAAUAAAUAAGAAAUUAUUAUUAAAGAAUAUAUUAUUAGAUAUAAAUAAUAAAAAAAUAAAUAAUAUAAAAAGAAUAUUAAAUAAUAAUAAUAUAAACCCCGCGGGCGCCAAUCCGGUUGUUCACCGGAUUGGUCCCGCGGGGAAUAUUAAUAAUAAAUUACAACAUUUAAAUAAUAUAAAUAAUUGAAAUCUACAAAUUUAUAAUUAUAAUAAAAAUAUAGAAAUUAUAAAUACUAUAAAUGAUAAAUUAAUUAAUAAAUUAUUAUAUAAAAUAAUAACUUUAAAAUUAAAUAAUAUAAAUAUUAAUAAAAUUAUUAUAAGUAAACUUAUUAAUCAACAUAGUUUAAAUAAAUUAAAUAUUAAAUUUUAUUAUUAUAAUAAUGAUAUUAAUAAUAAUAAUAAUAAUAAUAAUAAUAAUUAUUAUAUAAAUAUAAUAAAUAAAUUAAUAAAUAUUAUAAAUAAUAAUAUAAAUAAUAAUUUAUGUAAUAUUUUAAGUUAUUAUUAUAAUAAAAAAGUAACUAUUGAACCUAUUAAAUUAUCAUAUAUUUAUUUAAAUAGUGAUAUUUUUAGUAAAUAUAUUAGUUUAAAUGAUAUAGAUAAAUAUAAUAAUGGUAUCUUAACUAAUUAUCAACGUAUAUUAAAUAAUAUUAUGCCUAAAUUAAAUGAUCAUAAUAUUUCUAUAAAUUAUAUUAAUAAUAUUAAUAAUAUUAAUAAUAAUAAAUAUAAUAAUAUAAUUAAUUUAUUAAAUAAUAAUAAUAAUAUUAAUAAUUAUAAUAAUUAUAAUAAUUAUAAUAAUAAUAAUAAUAAUAAUAAUUAUAUUGGUAAUAUUAAUAAUAUUUAUAAUAAUAUAACUAUUGAUAAUAUUCCUAUAGAUAUUUUAAUAUAUAAAUAUUUAGUUGGUUGAUCUAUUAAAUUUAAAGGUAGAUUAAGUAAUAAUAAUGGUAGAACUAGUACACUUAAUUUAUUAAAUGGUACUUUUAAUAAUAAAAAAUAUUUAUGAAGUAAUAUUAAUAAUAAUUAUAAAUUAAAUUAUAUCCCUUCUAAUCAUAAUUUAUAUAAUAAUUCUAAUAUUAAUAAAAAUGGUAAAUAUAAUAUUAAAGUUAAAUUAAACUUUAUUUAA
rnacentral:rRNA from 1 species